UACGUAGGCAGCAAGCGUUGUUCGGAGUUACUGGCGUAAAGCGCGUGUAGGCGGGCCGGCACGUCGGCUGCUGAAAUCCCCCGGCUCAACCGGGGAAGGGGCAUCGAUACGACCGGCCUGGAGGGGGGUAGGGGGGACGGGAACUUCCGGUGGAGCGGUGAAAUGCGUUGAGAUCGGAAGGAACGCCCGCGGCGAAAGCGCGUCCCUGGACCCCACCUGACGCUGAGACGCGAAAGCCAGGGGAGCGAACGGG
rnacentral:rRNA from 1 species